GGCCAUGUCAUUCAGGUAUGCUGUAACAUCAUAUUGGGCCAUACAUACAGCCUAUGGGCCAUGUCAUUCAGGUAUGCUGUAACAUCAUAUUGGGCCAUACAUACAGCCUAUGGGCCAUGUCAUUCAGGUAUGCUGUAACAUCAUAUUGGGCCAUACAUACAGCCUAUGGGCCAUGUCAUUCAGGUAUGCUGUAACAUCAUAUUGGGCCAUACAUACAGCCUAUGGGCCAUGUCAUUCAGGUAUGCUGUAACAUCAUAUUGGGCCAUACAUACAGCCUAUGGGCCAUGUCAUUCAGGUAUGCUGUAACAUCAUAUUGGGCCAUACAUACAGCCUAUGGGCCAUGUCAUUCAGGUAUGCUGUAACAUCAUAUUG